UACGUAGGGUGCGAGCGUUGUCCGGAUUUAUUGGGCGUAAAGGGCUCGUAGGCGGCCUGUCGCGUCGGGAGUGAAAGCCCACUGCUUAACGGUGGGUCUGCUUUCGGUGCGGGCGGGCUAGAGUAUGGCAGGGGAGACUGGAAUUCCUGGUGUAGCGGUGGAAUGCGCAGAUAUCAGGAGGAACACCGGUGGCGAAGGCGGGUCUCUGGGCCAUUACUGACGCUGAGGAGCGAAAGCGUGGGGAGCGAACAGG
rnacentral:rRNA from 1 species